GAAGAAAGCAAGAGAUUAAGGUUCCAAAGAGCGCCUGAUUCAUGAGGCAUGCCUGUUUUGCCUCCGUAGUAUUCAUUGAAAAUGGCACGGUUCCAGUAGAAGAAACAGAAAGUAAAAAUGAACCUUAACUCUGGCUUCUGUGAUCAGCGAUAGGAAUGAACAGCGUGGCUGGCGUUCGUGUCUCCGCACAGAUGCCCCUUAAGCUCCCUGGGACUGUUGACAAGAGCACUCACAAUGGUUAAACUGCCACAGCUGACUGAAGCCAGUGAGGACAGUCCAACACGUCAGCCUUAGGACUCAGAAGGACAGGUGGCUCAAACAGGUUUUCAGGAGUCUCCCUCCUGCCCGAGAGGAGCCCGGAAGUUCAGCAGAAGGAAGAGGGACUCUCCAUCCUCGUAGAAGCAAAAGGCUUUCUUUCUGUUUGCCUUUUACUGACUGCAGUGAAAGGCCUAGCCUAUGUCCAGUGCCCCAGGUCUUGGUGAAUAAGGUGUGGGCACCUACAAAAGCUAAUCCCUGCUCGUUGUCUCUAGCCACAACUCAAGGGUUCUGCAGCUUGUCUUUGGAAAUGAGUCAACCAACAGUUGGGGAGAAAAACUGUACCUCUAAAUCACUAAUGACACACCUUCAAGGCUUGUCCUUUCAUUUACCAAACCUGGAGUUUAACAACUCGAGACCACACUUCCUUGCCUGGUAAGCCUGUGUUUCAC
rnacentral:lncRNA from 1 species